rnacentral:rRNA from 1 species
AACGAACGCUGGCGGCAGGCCUAACACAUGCAAGUCGAGCGAGGACUCCGGGCCUAUCGGCGGAGGGCGGAGGAACGCGUGGGAACGUGCCCUUUGCUACGGAAUAGCUCUGGGAAACUGGGAGUAAUACCGGAUGGGCCCUUAGGGGGAAAGAUUUAUCGGCGAAGGAUCGGCCCGCGUUGGAUUAGGUAGUUGGUGGGGUAAUGGCCUACCAAGCCCACGAUGCAUAGCUGGUUUGAGAGGAUGAUCAGCCACACUGGGGCUAAGACACGGCCCAGACUCCUACGGGAGGCAGGAGAGGGUAAUCUUAGACAAUGGGGGAAACCCUGAUCUAGCCAUGCCGGGUGAGAGAUGAAGGCCUUAGGGUUGUAAAGCUCUUUCAGCUGGGAAGAUAAUGACGGUACCAGCAGAAGAAGCCCCGGCUAACUACGUG